AGGAAAAGAAACCAACCGGGAUUGCCCUAGUAACGGCGAGUGAAGCGGCAAGAGCUCAAAUUUGAAAGCUGGCCCCCGCGGGGUCCGCAUUGUAAUUUGCAGAGGAUGCUUCGGGAGCGGUCCCCAUCUAAGUGCCCUGGAACGGGCCGUCAUAGAGGGUGAGAAUCCCGUAUGGGAUGGGGUGCCCGCGCCCGUGUGAAGCUCCUUCGACGAGUCGAGUUGUUUGGGAAUGCAGCUCUAAUUGGGUGGUAAAUUUCAUCUAAAGCUAAAUAUUGGCCGGAGACCGAUAGCGCACAAGUAGAGUGAUCGAAAGAUGAAAAGCACUUUGAAAAGAGAGUUAAAAAGCACGUGAAAUUGUUGAAAGGGAAGCGCUUGCGAUCAGACUCGCCUGCGGGGUUCAGCCGGCCUUCGGGCCGGUGUACUUCCCCGCGGGCGGGCCAGCGUCGGUUUGGGCGGCCGGUCAAAGGCCCCUGGAAUGUAACGCCUCUCGGGGCGUCUUAUAGCCAGGGGUGCCAUGCGGCCUGCCCGGACCGAGGAACGCGCUUCGGCUCGGACGCUGGCAUAAUGGUCGUAAGCGAC
rnacentral:rRNA from 1 species